rnacentral:lncRNA from 1 species
GGCGAGGCAAGGCUCCCUACACCGCCAGGGGCUCCCAGAUGAUGCACACACCAGGCCCACGCAGGGAGAGGGAACAACAGUAUGUUAGAAGGCCAAGGCUCGGAGAAGGAGUCCUCUGGAAGCAGGGCAGGCUUAGGGGACCAAUGUGUCUACAGUCAGAUGCCAGAGAAGUUGAGGAAGAUGAGGACAAGGUCAUGUCUGCAGGGAGGUAGGCGAGGUGCUGGUGAGAGCCAUGCGGGAGAGAGACACGGGGCUGGGCUACCCUGGAACAAUCUCGAUGGAGCCCCCAGGAGUGGGAGAGAAAGGGAGGAAGGCAGAGGUGGGGGAAGGAGAGCGAGGGGGGAGGUGGUGGGCAAUCGGGGAGACGCGCGCACACACACACACACACACACACUCCUACAGGGACGCACAGAAUAGAAGCAGAAUUCAAUAACAACUUGGAGAGGGAGCGGAGCGGGAGAGAGCAGGCAGGGAGGGUAGUAGGGGAGGGAGGUAGGCACACGCGGAGCCCGUCUUAGGAGGUGUUCAAUAACCGCUGAUGGAGCGCAGGAACAAAGACAAGGGGCUCCCAGAGGGAAGCAACAGCUGAGAAAGUUGCAGGAUAGACAGACAGACAAAAUGUCACGCAUACACAC